rnacentral:lncRNA from 10 species
UUGUUUUUUAUGUUUUGUCGCCAAAAGUGACCUUGAGGAACCCUGGGAGCUCAGGAAGGAAGGAGCACCCAGAAGCAGGGACAGGGAGCUGGUUGGGGAGGACCAGAAAUCAGGGCGCCCUGAAAGGACCAGGACAUGCGGGUGCGGUGGCUGCUCUUUUGGCUCCUCUUUUGGCUCCUGCUGGGAUUUAUCAGCCAUCAGUCCACCUGUGUGAGUAGAUGGGUGCUGUGGCUGCUCUUUUGGCUCCUGCUGGGAUUUAUCAGCCAUCAGUCCACCUGUAGACUGGGUUUCACCGUGUUCGCCAGGAUAGUCUCCAUGUCUUGACCUCGUGAUCUGCCUGCCUCGGCCUCCCAGUGCUGGGAUUACAGGCGUGAGCCACCGCGCCUGGCCAAAAUAUAUAACCUUAAGUGUUAUCAAUACUCUGGCUGACCAUCGUCAUCGUGGGACUGACUUUGGUGGAAGUCCUUGGUUACUUAUCAUUACUGUGUUUCUGAGAAGUUAUAAAUUUGCCAUCUCCCUCUGCACAAGUUACCUUUGU